GCCUCUGUAGCUCAGUUGGUUAGAGCGCAUGACUGUUAAUCAUGAAGUCACAGGUUCAAGUCCUGUUAGGGGCGCCA
rnacentral:tRNA from 1 species